rnacentral:rRNA from 1 species
GGGUUCGAUCAUACCAGCACUAAUGCACCGDAUCCCAUCAGAACUCCGAAGUUAAGCGUCUUUGGGCGAGAGUAGUAAUAGGAUGGGUGCCUAUUGAGGAAGUCCUCGUGUUGCACCCC